rnacentral:rRNA from 1 species
UACGUAGGGAGCAAGCGUUGCUCGGAAUCACUGGGCGUAAAGCGCACGUAGGCGGACUCUUAAGUCGGUGGUGAAAUCCUGGAGCUCAACUCCAGAACUGCCUUCGAUACUGAGAGUCUCGAGUCCGAGAGAGGUGAGUGGAACUGCGAGUGUAGAGGUGAAAUUCGUAGAUAUUCGCAAGAACACCAGUGGCGAAGGCGGCUCACUGGCGCGGUACUGACGCUGAGGUGCGAAAGCGUGGGGAGCAAACAGG